rnacentral:tRNA from 1 species
UGGCUCAGUGGAUAGAGCGUCAGCCUGUGGGCUGAAGGGUCUGGGUUCGAUUCCCAG